rnacentral:misc_RNA from 1 species
GAAAUGCGAUAAGUAAUGUGAAUUGCAGAAUUCAGUGAAUCAUCGAAUCUUUGAAUGCACAUUGCGCCCGCCAGUAUUCUGGCGGGCAUGCCUGUCCGAGCGUCAUUUCAACCAUCAAGCCCCCGGGCUUGUGUUGGGGACCUGCGGCUGCCCGCAGGCCCUGAAAACCAGUGGCGGGCUCGCUGUCACACCGAGCGUAGUAGCAAUCACCUCGCUCAGGGCGUGCUGCGGGUUCCGGCCGUUAAACAGCCUUACAAAACCCAAGGUUGACCUCGGAUCAGGUAGGAAGACCCGCUGAACUUAAGC